GCUGACGGUACUUUAAAGUCCCAUGUUUAUAAAAGCCCAUAAAACCUCUUUACAUGUAAAAAAUGCUUUUAAAUUCUAACGAUCCUUUUAAGUACCUAUCGGUAAAUACAAAAUUUAGGUUGCCACUACUUGCUUUGACAUUUCAUGCUUUCAGUUUAUAUUUGUGUUCUGUGACUUCUGUGGCUGACCGUGACAGUGCGUGGUGUGAUAAAUUUGAUUUGAAGACAGUAUACAAAAAUGGCAAAGAAAAACUUUUAUACAAAAAAGUUGUCUGACUCAGAAUUGCUGGAAAUUAUAGAGGAUGAAGAUUUUUAUUUAGAUGAAUAUUUUCCAUCUUUUAAUGAUCCUGACACUGAUAUGGAGGAUUUUGAUGCGGUUGAAGAAGGUCCAUUAGCAGAUGUAUUUUCCAGUGACAAUUCUAAUAAUCAAGCCGAAGAAAUUUUAGAAGAUACAAAUAAGGUGAUGAAUAGUGAACAAAAAGAAGUUACAGAACAGAUAGAGAGUGAAUUCGAUCUAGAAAAUAUAAAUGACAAUGAAACUGAAGGUGAUCAAGAGGAAAACGACAAAAAUGUCGAAUCAACAAUACAAAGAAAAUGGGAAAGAAGAUUAGCAAAAGCUCCUGAUUUGCCAGAAUAUAAUCAACCAGCAGGAAUUAAUGAAAACGAGUUUAUUGAAUGUGAUACGGCUCUUGCGUUUUUCUAAAAUUAUUAGCUCCAGCUGUAGAAAAAAUUGUUUUUCAGUCAAACCUUUAUGCUGUGCAAAAAGGGAAGUCAUUAAAUUUAACAGAAAAUGAAUUUUUGUGCUUUCUUGGAAUAAAUUUCUUGAUGGGCUACCAUCAACUGCCCAGCCUAUCAUGUUACUGGAAUACUAGUAGAGAUCUCCAUGUUGCUUUGGUAAGUGAGGCAAUGUCAAGAAACCGCUUUCAAAAAAUAUUAAUGACAACAGCCUUUUAUCUAAGGAAAACAAAGAUAAAGUGUAUAAAGUCAGACCAUUAUUCAACAUUUUGAAUAAUCAAUUUAAAUUUCUUUAUUAUGGAAGUCGGGAGUUAUCAUUGGAUGAAUCUAUUGUCAAAUUUAAGGGGAGGAGCGUGCUAAAGCAGGUUAACCCCAUGAAACCAGUCAAACGUGGAUAUAAGCUUUGGUGCCUGUCAGAUCAAUAUGGAUUUAUUAAAAAAUUUGACAUAUACCAGGGAAAAAAUGAGAUAAUAGAGACAAAAUAUAAAGACCACACUUUGGGUGAGAGGGUAGUUUUACAUAUGACCGAGGAGGAAAGAGGUAAAAAAAAGUUGGUUUACUUCGAUAACUAUUACACCACGAUAAAGUUGUUGGAAAUCUUACGUGGUCAAGAUAUAUUUGCGUGUGGUACAAUUAGAAAUAAUAGAAAAAGAUUACCUAAAAAUAUGAAGUCUGAUAAGAUGUUGGAACGAGGGGCAGCAGAUAUGAUGGUAUCUAACACCGAUAUCACAUAUUUUAAAUGGAAGGAAAAUCGUGUUGUCCAUGCGGCCUCAAAUUUUCAUGGCACAGAAGAAACCAUCAUACAGAGAAAAGAUAAAACUGGAAAAAAUGUGACAUAACUGCACCAUGUGCAAUAAAAAAUUAUAACAAAUAUAUGGGAGGGGUUGAUCAUGCAGAUCGAUUGCGGUACUGUUAUUCAAUUGACAGACGAUCAAAAAAAUGGUGGCACCGUUUAUUUUGGGCUAUGUUUGAAAUUACAUUUGUUAACAGCUACAAUGUAUCCAAGCACUUUUUAGAUUUAGGUUCUAGCAAAGAUUUGCUCACAUUUAGGAGAGAUUUAACUAUGGGGCUAAUAAACAGGUCUCCUUUACAAAAAAUCAGGAAAAGAUUGUCUGAUGGAUCAUUAAAUCCUACAAAAAGAAGAAAGUACAACUACAGUGUACCAGAUAGUGUAAGGCUUGAAAACCUUGGUCGUCAUUGGGUGCAGUUUCAAACACGCCGUGGAAGAUGUGAACAAUGCAGUUCAAGAGGUAUUCAAUCAAAACCCUAUUCGAUUUGUUCAGCAUGUAAAGUUUUUUUGUGUUGCAACGAAAAAAAACAAUGUUUUACUGAAUAUCAUGAAAUUACUUGGUAAUAAAAUUUAUUUUAUUUUGUA
rnacentral:lncRNA from 1 species